rnacentral:lncRNA from 1 species
AAUCUAGCCUAAUAAAAGUUAGUGAGGCAAACAUAGAGUCCGUUUGGGCUACGUUAGAAUUUGGUAAUCACACAGUAACUCAUGUAGGUGUGAUUUAUAGGCCCCCAGGACAAAUUGAAGAGUUAGGUAAUCUACUAGUUGAAGAAAUAGCUAAAAUGACAAUGAAGGGGGAAGUUAUCAUCAUGGGUAACUUUAAUCUUCCUGAUGUAAAUUGGAAAACAAAAUUAGCUACUUGUGCCAGGAGCACACAUAUUCUAAACUCCCUACUGGGAUUGUCUCUAAAACAAGUUGUUGAGGAGCCAACUCGUAAAGAGGCCAUGCUAGAUUUAGUGUUAACAAAUGGAGAUUUGGUAUCAGAUAUUACUGUAGGUGAAAGUUUGGGAUCCAGUGAUCAUCAGUCAGUGUGGUUUAAUAUAAGAACAGUGACUGAGUCACACCACACAAAAACAAAAGUUUUAGACUUUAGAAAAACAGACUUUUCUAAAAUUAGAAAAUGGGUAGAGGAGUCAUUAUCAGACUGGAGCAAUUUAAAUGGAGUCCAAGAGAAAUGGGAUUAUUUAAAAGUUGCACUAUUGAAGGCAACAGAAAAUUGCAUUAGGCUUGUCAGUAAAAGCAAAAAAAUCAAGAAACCACUGUGGUACUCCACAGAUGUGGCCAAAAUAGUUAAAAACAAAAAGUUAGCAUUUAGGAAUUAUAAAAAACCCAGAGUGAGGAAGACAAAAUGAUCUAUAAGAUUAGGCAGAAAAGUUAUAAGAGCUUCC